GCGUUUGUAGAUGGAAGGAAGAACUUGUGUGCUUAGACCUGACGCUGGGAGGAGAUGCUGCCACCUAGGUUACUUGUAGGACCCUAUACGGCAACCUCCUUUGCCAGGAACUAUUUAUAAACAUCCUGCAGGAAAAUGCAGUGAAGUAGAAGAGACAGGGAUAUCCCAGAAGGUUAUGCAAAACAUCAAGAGAAGAUGAGAGGAGUCUAUAUGUCAGAAUACACAUUUCCCACCUUGCCCAACAGUAGAAAAACAUAAGAAGAGAAAAACAUUAAAAAAUGACAAGGAAGUUAAUGGAAGCAAUGUGAUGGUGUUUGGAGGUGGAGCCUUCAGAAGGUAAUUAAUGCCCUUGUAAGAAGAGGCCAGAGAGCUUGCGCACCUUCUUCCUGCCAUGUGAGGAGCCAAGAAGCCGGCUGUCUGCAACCUGCAAGAGGACCCUCACUAGAAGCUAGCCAUACUGGCAUCCUCAUCUUGGCUUUCCAACUUCCAGAACUGUGAGAAGUAUAUGUUUGUGGUUUAGUCAAUGGUCUAUGGUAAUUUUUUUAUAGCAGUCCCAGCCAAGACAGUGCCUCAUUUACUACAUACCAUUUAUAUUAUUAUAUAGGCUCCUUUCAGAAACCCAUGUUCAAAUAAGAGAUAAGAUACUGAAACACAUAACACCUUCACUAGUUUUUAGUAUACAAAUAUUGAGAAAUA
rnacentral:lncRNA from 1 species